AGGUGAUCUCAACAGGCUAGAUCAGUGGAUGCUCAAUCUGAAAAGUCAAAACUGGACUCUCAGCAAGACCUCUCGUCUGUGCAGUGAACACUUUGAGAGUCAUCACUUCACCACUGACUCCAGGGGAAGGACUUGCCUGAAGGACACCGACUGGUGUGCCUACCAUUUUCUCUUUCUCAAAGGGCAAAGAACAGCCAAAAGGAGGGAGGCUUGAAGUGAGAUGGGCAUCUAUAAAGACCUGGUAGAGCAGCCAGCUGCUCCAUGCUGCUACCUCCUGACCUAGAAACUCAGUCAGGACCACUUGCAGUUGUUUCUCUCUGCAGUCAGCACGUGGAGGUUAUAACAACCCCAAUGUAGAGCAGUUCUGAGCGGCAACUGUCUUCCUCGUGACAACACACCCAUCCUUGACUCAACACCUGCGGCUGUGAACAUCGCACGCCGAUUGGAUAUGGAGCCUGUUUAAGUGCUUGUGCCCGAGGGUGACAAGGAAGCAGCAAUCUCUUACAUCACAGGCUUCAUUGUCAGAAAGAUUAAAAAGAAGGUUACUUGCAUGACUUGCUCACAAGCACUGACCACAGAUGACUUGGUGCAGCGAUUCUUGGCUUUGAAGGACAGAGGUGGCCUACAGAAACCAUCACUGGGUAUCACUGCAGUUUGCCAAGUUACAGAAAGAUGCUUUCAGCGGCUUCUACAAACCAAUGAAGGAAAGGCUCCACAGGGAAGGGGAUCAACAGCAGCCAUUGUCACCCAGGUUCUUUCUGAUUGUUUUGAGAAAAAUCUCUUCCCACAGCUGCACAGCCACAUGUUCGACAUGUGUGUUGAAGCUAACCAUGUCCACGUUCUGGUAAAGAUGGCUUCUGCGUGGUACUGCAAAAUUACAUUAAAUCAUAUAGCAAGGUGGGAGACAGAUCAAAUUAAAGAAGGUAAGGUGGUCCACAGAAAACUCACAAAAUUAAUCCUUUUUAUGGAGAUUAAGGGAAAGGUGGUCAUUUCUGUGUGUGUGUGUGUGUGUGUGUGUGUGUGUACAGUGUGUUUUUCUGUGUAUGUCAGUAUGUGGCCAACACUUUCUUUGUAGUUAUCAGACCUAGAACAUGGAAAAUGGCAAGUACCAAGCCUAACUCUCUUUGGACAACGUUGUAAAUGAUACUUGGAGCCUGCAUGAAUGGGGCCUAAGUAACUUUCAAUGUCUGCUCUAAAGGAAGUACUGACAUGUGUUGUCUCAAAUUAACUUCAUUGCCAGAUUUACCUAGCUGAGAAAUAAAUUUUUCAACAUAAACUAAGUGCCUGCAUAAACGGGGCCUAAGUGU